rnacentral:rRNA from 1 species
UACGUAGGGGGCAAGCGUUGUCCGGAAUCAUUGGGCGUAAAGAGCGUGUAGGCGGCCCGAUAAGUCCGCUGUGAAAGUCCAGGGCUCAACCCUGGGAUGCCGGUGGAUACUGUCGGGCUCGAGUCCGGAAGAGGAGUGUGGAAUUCCUGGUGUAGCGGUGAAAUGCGCAGAUAUCAGGAGGAACACCGAUUGCGAAGGCAGCUCGCUGGGACGUCACUGACGCUGAGACGCGAAAGCGUGGGGAGCAAACAGG